UACGAAGGGGGCUAGCGUUGCUCGGAAUUACUGGGCGUAAAGCGCACGUAGGCGGCUUUCUAAGUCGGGGGUGAAAUCCUGGAGCUCAACUCCAGAACUGCCUUCGAUACUGGAGAGCUCGAGUCCGGGAGAGGUGAGUGGAACUGCGAGUGUAGAGGUGAAAUUCGUAGAUAUUCGCAAGAACACCAAUGGCGAAGGCAGCACUCUGGGACGGUACUGACGCUGAGACGCGAAAGCGUGGGGAGCAAACAGG
rnacentral:rRNA from 1 species